UACGGAGGGUGCAAGCGUUAUCCGGAAUCACUGGGUUUAAAGGGUACGUAGGCGGAUCUGCAAGUCAGAAGUGAAAGCCCCGGGCUUAACCUGGGAACUGCUUUUGAUACUGUAGGUCUUGAGUACAGUUGAGGUGGGCGGAAUGAGUCGUGUAGCGGUGAAAUGCAUAGAUAUGACUCAGAACACCGAUUGCGAAGGCAGCUCACUAAACUGUUACUGACGCUGAGGUACGAAAGCGUGGGGAGCGAACAGG
rnacentral:misc_RNA from 1 species